rnacentral:lncRNA from 1 species
GAUGUUGCAGUAACCUCACUGGCAUUUUAUUUGUCUGAAAUAUUGUGCAAGGAUGACACAGAUAUUUGGCAAGCAGUUCUGAGAUCAUUACUUGGUAAUUCCGAAUUCAGUUCAGGAUACAGAAUAGCUAAAAGAAAGUCAGUCAAAAAAAUAAAAAAGGGAUCUGUAGAGCGAUGUUACUGGACUGGAUGAAGGGCCAAGCCGUUCAUGAAGACAAUGUAGUAAACAACUAUGACAGUGCCAGCUCUGUGGCUCCUAUAUGUAGAUAUUGCAGCUUAUUAAGUUACAUUUAGUUGGAACCCAUAACGGCUACCCUUAGAUAUAACGGGCAUAAAGACAUUGCAGAGUCAUGUAUUGGCUUUAUACGCUUUCAAAAAGAAAACCUGUCGGAUGCUGUGCUAAUUGAGUUAGCACAAGGUAUAACAAAAGACAUUCAGAAAUUAGGCCAAGAUCUUGGAUUAGACAGCAAACAGAUUUCGAACGACGUCAAACGUCAGUAUAUUGCUGUUAUAAUGGAGUGGAGAGAGUCUGACCAAGUGAUCAAACACGGUGACAAUGUACUAGAAUAUCUUAGGAGUACAUGUGUCUAAAAGAAUCAGAACUUUCAGAUGUAACAUGUUUUGUAGAUGUUUUGUAGAUCGGCAUAAGCGGAGGAAUACAUUCAAACUAUUUUCUUUGGAUAAUAUAUGUAUAACAUUUACCUUUUAGGUCAGAACUACAAAUGUACUUGGCAAUGACCUAUCUUUAGACAGUUUCUCGGAGUGACUAUCGGCAAGCCGCUGUUAUUGAAAGUUGUAAUUUCAGUGUUCAAAAUGUAGCUGUUUUCAUGUAUGGUACUAAAGAACCCAACCCGCUAUGAAGUCUAAUGCCAUCUGCAAAAUUACGAGCACUUGGGCAAAUGCCAUUAUAUGCCUUGUUUAUUUAAUGACUGACCAUCAAUACUGAAAAUAUGCGCGAUAUUCAAUAUCAAUACUCAGUACAUGAAACUGCAAUACACAGUUCAAAUAUUGUUUUGAAAACUCAAUACGCAGUACUGAUCCCCAAUUAUAACGUUAUUCCUGCCGAAACGAGAGAACGAGUCCAUUUUAUGAUAACUGAUAAAAUAACAAUUCAUAAUACCAGCACAUUACUUGACAAGUAAAUAUAAGUAUUUGUUUCAUUUUAACUAUCCAGUUAGUAUACUGCAACAUAGCUGUUGCCACAAAGAAAAUGAAUGAAUCUAAUUUCUUUUAUGCAAAAAUGAAAUAAAAAUUAAAUGUCGAUGUUGAGUUUCGAAACAACAUGGCAAAAGAUCUGUUUCUUAUGGACAGUAUGCUUUACAUCUGAACUAUUUUUUAAUUAGUACUAAAAUUUGAAAUUUUUAGAUUUUAACAUGUUAGCAAAACGAGGAAUUCCCUAUGUUCCAUUUUAAUCUAUUUAUAGUAAUGUUUGUAAACAUCAAGUUAUCGUUGGGACAUCGUCGACGCUCAUUUAUGACCGAUUUCUCGUUCAUUCGAACAUUUAGAAAGCUGAAAUUUUAAACAUAUUUUCUUUGUAUGUAACUAAAUAAAUCGUAAGAUUCAGAAUGUUUCCCACAAUGCAAAUAGGUGACGGUAUCGGGAGAAAUGUGUUCACGGCAUGCAUUUAUCAAAUGAUAAAGAUGUCAUUUUAUCACAAAUUUUAUCUUUUUUACUUAAGAUGGACUCAUUGUGUAUAUACACAGUAUCUGGUUACUAAAAAUAAAAUCCAUUUUUUUCUGUUGUAGUAAAACAGAGUAGUAUAUUGGAUUUUUAUUUACAUUGUUGACAAAAAUCAAUCACGUUUUCUGAAAAUUUCUUAUCACACAACGGCAAUAUCCGGUGGCCAAAGUAUCGAGGUAUAACGCCAAAUUUUCGAAGAUAGAAACGCAAAAAAUGAAGCCUACAAAAUUAAAUCCGUCAAAAUAACCAAAUAUCAUUUGACAGUUGUCGGUUUUAUGGAAGAUUUAUCUAUAGCAAUAACCGAAGUUUUGAGAUAAUUUCUUCAACAGUGUUCGCAACGAAUGAUAACUGUCUCCUCAGAUAGUAUACCAGCAUUGAUAUCUAUUAGUUUACAUCCCUUGCAAUUUUCACAACAAAGCCAUCUGUCUGUUUGUGAUUUACAUUUGUUUAGCGGCAUCAGAUUUUUUUUUCUGCUGAUUUACUUGAAAAGAUGAGCUUUAAACAAUUUGAAAAUAAAGUGUCACAUAAUAUUUACAGCAAAGUCACUAUAACUUUAAUUUAUAUGUAUAUCAUUGUUUACAGCAUCUUUGUAUAUAUGUGUCGAAGUAUUGCAUAUAUCGUGCUUUUGUUUAACAUUUACUAUGUAUAUAUGUUAUGCCGUUCAAAAAAAAUGUUGCUUUUGUUUUACAUUUACUAUGUAUAUGUAUAUAUGUUCUGCUCUUCAGAAUCGUGUUGUCUUUGUUUUACAUUUACUAUAAUGUAUAUAUGUUAUGCUCUUCAGAAAUGUGUUGCUUUUGUUUUACAUUUACUAUGACUGUAUACAUGAUAUGCUCUUCAGAACUGGAGGAAGUAAAAGAUAUUAUUAUUACUUAUAUUAAGGUAAAGAAGGCGUAAUGGGCGGUAAUUUAAAAAACAAAUUGCAUUUUUCAUAACAUGAUUGAAUAAUAACAAAAGCUGAUUUUCACCCGAUUUACAAUUAAUAAAAAGGUAACAUGCACACGUUGUACGCAAAUGGCAUCGAAAAAUCACGUUUUAGUCUUGCCCUAAAUAGUUGUGACGUUGCCGUUUUUGUGGCGAUUAAUUGAGUUUCGGGGCGUCCAUUUAAUUUUAAAAAAAUACUUUUAUUUCUUUUAAUAUAACAACCCCGUUGAAACCUGUACGGUGAUGUAAUUUUCAAAUAUGUUCUCCGACUAUUCGCCGACGGAAAACUUACUUCCAAAAGUCAUGCCAUAAUCUUUCUGCGAAAUUACUGCUUUCGAGUGGAAUGGCUAAGUAGUGUGUAAACACUGCCCCAUAUAUUUAAAAAAAAAACACACACUAAAAUCAUCAUAUAAAUUGAUUUUACUGUAAAAUGAGCGAACAAAUGUGUGGGGUCUCCGACUUCGUUAUCACUGUAUUGUCUUAAAUUUCUCCUGCCACCAUUUCCACGCGCAGAUUUUGUGCAUCAAAAUUUCACAAAGAACUGGUUGUAUUAAAGGGGAAGAUAAGUUAAUCACAAAAGAGUUUACGACAACAUAAAUUUCAUUUUAAGCGUGUUCUGAUUUUGUAAGCCAUUUUCCGAUUUCUUUCACACUGGUAUACAUGAAUGCAUGUUAAACACACAAAUAAGUGUUAUUAAAGAAUGAUACUUUUUAUUAAACAUUUUUUUCUGCUCGUUCUCUCCUCCAUAAAUUUGUUUUUAAAUAUCUGAAAAUGUUCCUUAAAUGUUUUUGAAUAAACUAAAAUUAUAAAAUUCCUUGACUACUGAGUUCAUUUUCACG